rnacentral:rRNA from 1 species
GACGAACGCUGGCGGCGUGCUUAACACAUGCAAGUCGAACGAUGAUGCCCAGCUUGCUGGGUGGAUUAGUGGCGAACGGGUGAGUAACACGUGAGUAACCUGCCCCUGACUCUGGGAUAAGCGUUGGAAACGACGUCUAAUACUGGAUAUGACUGCCGGCCGCAUGGUCUGGUGGUGGAAAGAUUUUUUGGUUGGGGAUGGACUCGCGGCCUAUCAGCUUGUUGGUGAGGUAAUGGCUCACCAAGGCGACGACGGGUAGCCGGCCUGAGAGGGUGACCGGCCACACUGGGACGGGGAAACGGCCCAGACUCCUACGGGAGGCAGCAGUGGGGAAUAUUGCACAAUGGGCGAAAGCCUGAUGCAGCAACGCCGCGUGAGGGAUGACGGCCUUCGGGUUGUAAACCUCUUUUAGUAGGGAAGAAGCGAAAGUGACGGUACCUGCAGAAAAAGCACCGGCUAACUACGUGCCAGCCGCCGCCGUAA